rnacentral:rRNA from 1 species
CAAUAGCGUAUAUUAAAGUUGUUGCGGUUAAAAAGCUCGUAGUUGGAUUUCUGUUGAGAUCGGCCGGUCACCGCUCUGCGGUUGUAUCUGGUUCUGUCUUGGCAUCCUCCUAGAGAACGGGAGGCACUUAAUUGUGUAGCCUGGUAUCUAGGACUUUUACUUUGAGGAAAUUAGAGUGUUUCAGGCAGGCGACCGCCUUGAAUACGUUAGCAUGGAAUAAUAAUAUAGGACUUUGGUUCUAUUUUGUUGGUUUCUAGGACUAAAGUAAUGAUUAAUAGGGAUAUUUGGGGCGAUUCGUAUUAACUGGUCAGAGGUGGAAUUCUUGGAUUCAGUUACGACGAACUAAUGCGAAAGCAUUUGCCAAGGAUGUUUUCAUUGAUCAAGAACGAAAGUGUGGGGAUCAAAGACGAUCAGAU